rnacentral:rRNA from 1 species
AUGUACACUGAAGCCGAAGCCAAAGAAGCCCGCGAAGACGGCGUCGACCUGCUCGAAGAAGCAUGUCUCCUAGCGCACAGCCGCUCAGCCAUCUACCAGCAAGGCCUGAGGCACUACCACAGCAAGAAGAUCAAGCCCCUCACUUUCCGGGAGGGAGACCUCGUCUUCCGACUCUUCCAAGUCCAGACCGGCCAACACAAGCUGUCCUCCCCAUCGGAGGGCCCCUUCAUCGUCAGCAAAGCCUUGUGCGAUUGCAACGCUUACUACCUCAUCGACGCCCGCAAGUCAAACAAGCGCAAGAGAGACACCGCCGGCGAAGAAACAACUCGGCCGUGGAACGCGAAACUCCUCCGCCCGUUUUACAGUUUGCCGUGUUUAUGUAUGUAUCGCUGCCUUUUGUAA